UAGGGAAUCUUCGGCAAUGGGGGGAACCCUGACCGAGCCACGCCGCGUGCGUGAAGAAGGCUCUCGGAUUGGUAAGCUCUGUUGUUAAGGAAGAAAGAGUGUGAGCAUGGAAAGAUCAUACUGUGACGGUACUUAACCCGAAAGGGACGGCUAACUACGUGCCAGCAGCCGCGGUAAUACGUAGGUGGCAAGCGUUGUCCGGAUUUAUUGGGCGUAAAGCGGGCGCAGGCGGUCCAUUAAGUCUGUUGUGAAAGCCCCCGGCUCAACCGGGGAGCGUCAAUGGAAACUGGUUGACUUGAGUGCAGAAGAGGAGAGUGGAAUUCCAUAUGUAGCGGUGAAAUGCGUAGAUAUAUGGUGGAACACCAGUGGCGAAGGCGACUCUCUAGUCUGUAACUGACGCUGAGGCUCGAAAGCGUGGGUAGCAAACAGG
rnacentral:rRNA from 1 species